UUAAACUUGAAUUCUAGAUAAACAAUAAAUAAUGUUUUGAUUUAAGUAUAUCCCAUACAAUAUUUGGGACAUACUCCUGCUAAAAAAUUAUUUUCUGUUUAUCUGAAAUUCAAAUACAACUGGAU
rnacentral:miRNA from 1 species